UUGGAGGGCAAGUCUGGUGCCAGCAGCCGCGGUAAUUCCAGCUCCAAUAGCGUAUAUUAAAGUUGUUGCAGUUAAAAAGCUCGUAGUUGAAUUUCGGGAUUUGUCGUGUGGCGGUCUACAGUCGCCGUAUGGCUUGAUGGAUUCUACCUUCUGAAUAACCAGCAUGCUAUUAAGUUAGUGCGUUGGGGAAGCAGAGCUAUUACCUUGAAAAAAUUAGAGUGCUUAAAGCAGGCUUAUGCUUGAAUAGAUUAGCAUGGAAUAAUAAAAUAGGACGGCAUGGUUCUAUUUUGUUGGUUUCUAGGAUCACCGUAAUGAUUAAUAGGGAUAGUUGGGGGCAUUAGUAUUCAAUUGUCAGAGGUGAAAUUCUUGGAUUUAUUGAAGACUAACUUCUGCGAAAGCAUUUGCCAAGGAUGUUUUCAUUAAUCAAGAACGAAGUUAGGGGAUCGAAGACGAUCAGAUACCGUCGUAGUCUUAACCAUAAACUAUGCCGACUAGGGAUCGGACGAUGUAAUUUUUAAUGACUC
rnacentral:rRNA from 1 species